rnacentral:rRNA from 1 species
UGCAUAANGAAUUAANUAGUAUAAGACUUACCAAAUGAAUUUUAGCUAACCAGCCCGUAACCAGACGAGCUACUCACACACCAGGUUUACCAGAGAACUAACUCAUCUAGUGUGCAAAAUAGUGAAGAAAGAUUUUGUAAAGUAGAGGUAGAACAUGCCUAACGAGCCUGGUGAUACUGUUGUCCAGAAAAUGAAUCUAAGUUCAGCUUUAAAGAUCCCGAAAUUCAAAUAAACCCCCUGUAGCUUUAAAAGUUAGUCUAAAAAGGUCACACCCUUUUAGAAACGGAUACAACCUGUGACUAGAGAGUAAAAUUUAACACUACCAUAGUAGGCCUAAAACCACCCAUCAAUUAAGAAAGCGUUAAAGCUCAACAACAAAAAUUAAAUAGAUUCCAACAACAAAUGAUUAACUCCUAGCCCCAAUACUGGACUAAUCUAUUAUAGAAUAGAACAAUAAUGUUAAUAUGAGUAACAAGAAAAAUUUUCUCCUUGCAUAAGUCUAAGUCAGUGCCUGAUAAUACUCUGACCACUAACAGUCAAUAAAAAUAAUCCAACAAUAAACAAUUUAUUGAUUAUACUGUUAACCCAACACAGGAGUGCAUCUAAGGAAAGAUU